AAUGUCAAGAGUGUAGACAUGAGAGUACUGGUAAAUCAUGUUCAGACAUGUAAGGCUUAUUUUUAAAUAUUAGGGAAACUGAAAGAGUUUUGUAUAAAAGAAAGACAACCUUGUAGUUAUAUCAUUUCUGAAGAACAGCAGCAUAAUAAAAGGUUCAUGCUUUAUAUUUGAUUCAAUACAGAUAAAGAUGAAAAUAACUCUGGUACUGUGUAUUGUUGUUUUUGUCGGUAUGACUUCGGCUGGAAAUGGUGUUGUUAACCUUAUAGUAGAGUCAUAUGAGAUGCACCUGAACCGCAUAAAAAGAUCAUCAGAACCAGAUAUUGAAAGUUCUUUGCACAUGGUAUUCACCAGUACAGACGAAAACCAUGACGGACACAUUACAGUAGACGAGAUGGUAGACUCUGUCGUUGGGAGCACCGGCGUAAAGAUUGACCAGAACAUGAGACAGGGCUUCAAUGUUGUAUUUGGUAAUCCCAAAUACGACUUAAAUGAAAAUGGUACCCUCGAGGAAAAGGAAUAUGCUGAACUGAUUAAAUCAGGAAUUGGAAUGUAGAAAAUAAAAGCCUAGAACUUGUGUUGAGGAGACGGAGCAGGAAUUUGACAAUAUAUGUUUUUUUUUAGUAAAAACGGCGAUUCUUAUAAUAUUACUAAUAAAGAAUAGAUUCAUUUUAA